rnacentral:tRNA from 1 species
UUUGGCUUGGCAGAAGUAAUGCACCUGACUUAGGAUCAGCCUAUAACACAAGUGUUAGUCGGAG